rnacentral:rRNA from 1 species
GACGAACGUUGGCGGCGUGCUUAACACAUGCAAGUCGAACGGAAAGGCCCCUUUGGGGGUACUCGAGUGGCGAACGGGUGAGUAACACGUGAGUAACCUGCCCUUGACUUCGGGAUAACUUCAGGAAACUGGGGCUAAUACCGGAUAGGAAUCCUUGCUGCAUGGUGGGGGUUGGAAAGCUUCGGCGGUUUUGGAUGGACUCGCGCCUUAUCAGCUUGUUGGUGGGGUAGUGGCUUACCAAGGCUUUGACGGGUAGCCGGCCUGAGAGGGCGACCGGCCACAGUGGGACUGAGAUACGGCCCAGACUCCUACGGGAGGCAGCAGUGGGGAAUAUUGCACAAUGGGCGGAAGCCUGAUGCAGCAACGCCGCGGGCGGGAGGACGGCCUUCGGGUUGUAAACCGCUUUCAGCAGGGGCGAAGCUUGUGGUGACGGUACCUGCAGAAGAAGCACCGGCUAACUACGUG